rnacentral:rRNA from 1 species
GAUGAACGCUAGCGAUAGGCUUAACACAUGCAAGUCGAGGGGCAGCAUGGUCUUAGCUUGCUAAGACUGAUGGCGACCGGCGCACGGGUGCGUAACGCGUAUGCAACUUGCCUCACAGAGGGGGAUAACCCGUCGAAAGACGGACUAAUACCGCGUACACUCUAUUUUGGGCAUCCAAGGUAGAGGAAAUGAAAUUCGCUGUGAGAUAGGCAUGCGUCCCAUUAGCUAGUUGGUGAGGUAACGGCUCACCAAGGCGACGAUGGGUAGGGGAACUGAGAGGUUGAACCCCCACACUGGUACUGAGACACGGACCAGACUCCUACGGGAGGCAGCAGUGAGGAAUAUUGGUCAAUGGGCGAGGGCCUGAACCAGCCAAGUCGCGUGAAGGAUGACUGUCUUAUGGAUGGUAAACUUCUUUUGUAGGGGAAUAAAGAGGGGCACGUGUGCCCCAGUGAAUGUACCCUACGAAUAAGCAUCGGCUAACUCCGUG